rnacentral:rRNA from 1 species
ACAAGCAGUGGGAGCACAGAGCAAUCUGUGUGACUGCGUACCUUUUGUAUAAUGGGUCAGCGACUUAUAUUCUGUAGCAAGGUUAACCGAAUAGGGGAGCCGAAGGGAAACCGAGUCUUAACUGGGCGUUAAGUUGCAGGGUAUAGACCCGAAACCCGGUGAUCUAGCCAUGGGCAGGUUGAAGGUUGGGUAACACUAACUGGAGGACCGAACCGACUAAUGUUGAAAAAUUAGCGGAUGACUUGUGGCUGGGGGUGAAAGGCCAAUCAAACCGGGAGAUAGCUGGUUCUCCCCGAAAGCUAUUUAGGUAGCGCCUCGUGAAUUCAUCUCCGGGGGUAGAGCACUGUUUCGGCAAGGGGGUCAUCCCGACUUACCAACCCGAUGCAAACUGCGAAUACCGGAGAAUGUUAUCACGGGAGACACACGGCGGGUGCUAACGUCCGUCGUGAAGAGGGAAACAACCCAGACCGCCAGCUAAGGUCCCAAAGUCAUGGUUAAGUGGGAAACGAUGUGGGAAGGCCCAGACAGCCAGGAUGUUGGCUUAGAAGCAGCCAUCAUUUAAAGAAAGCGUAAUAGCUCACUGGUCGAGUCGGCCUGCGCGGAAGAUGUAACGGGGCUAAACCAUGCACCGAAGCUGCGGCAGCGACACUGUGUGUUGUUGGGUAGGGGAGCGU